CGGUUGCAAAUUAAUUUUAUAGAUUUUAUUGAUCAUUUAGAUAGCCUCCCCCCCUUUUUUUUUGUAUUUUCGCAAUAAAUUGAGGAAAGUCUCAUAUUUUAAUGAAACCAAGCAUUCAAAAAUAAAUACUUGAAUUAUACAGAUUGUAACAUGCAAUAUAGGUAAAUCAAAUAGAAAAUUCAAAGUGAAAUGGAUUUUUGUGUCACAAACAAUAGUAAGCAUCAGGCUUAAAAAAGGGGGGAGCUGCCAAAGACAAUUUUUUUUUUUUGUAUUUUUUUUUAUUCCAAAUUCCUUUAGUACACUUGUCCCUAUUACUUUAAAGAGUAAAAUCCAUUCAUUUCUUCCUAGUAAUCCCAUUUUUGGUUAUUGCAGCUUGCUAAUUACUAAAGUUGUAUUCUGGUUACUGAAAAAUGAUAUGAAAUUCAAUGUCAAGUUCAUCAUAUUGAAAAAUCUUAAGUAUUGACAUUCAGAAGUUGUGUCUGACAGGUAAACAAAAUUAAGACACGUUGCAACCUUUUACUGGAAUGCUGGUUACCAUAUAAGUCAUUUUGAUCAUGAGUACCUGAGACAGUGUGGAUAAAAUCUGAAUUUCUAUUGUACAAAGGGAGAUAAUCCAAUAAAAAUGCUGAUUUUUAAAACCUUAAAAUUGCAUGUACAUAUUAAUUUAAACUAACAUACACUUCAU
rnacentral:lncRNA from 1 species